rnacentral:rRNA from 1 species
UACGUAGGGGGCGAGCGUUGUCCGGAGUUACUGGGCGUAAAGGGCGUGCAGGCGGUGCAGUAAGUUUGGAGUGACAGUUCCCGGCUCAACUGGGGAAGGCCUCUGAAAACUGCUGGACUUGAGGGCCAGAGAGGGACAUAGAAUUCCGGGUGGAGUGGUGAAAUGCGUAGAUAUCCGGAGGAAUACCAAAGGCGAAGGCAGUGUCCUGGCUGGCAUCUGACGCUGAGGCGCGAAAGCUAGGGGAGCGAACAGG